rnacentral:rRNA from 1 species
AGAGUUUGAUUAUGGCUCAGGAUGAACGCUGGCGGCGUGCCUAACACAUGCAAGUCGAGCGGAGAUAAGUUGAAGCCUAGCGAUUCUUAUCUUAGCGGCGGAUGGGUGAGUAACACGUGGGUAACCUGCCCUGCACUGGGGAAUAACAGCUGGAAACGGCUGUUAAUGCCGCAUAUGCGCACGGAGCCGCAUGGCUUUGGGCGGAAAGAUUUAUCGGUGCAGGAUGGGCCCGCGCCGGAUUAACUAGUUGGCGGGGUAACGGCCCACCAAGGUGAUGAUCCGUAGCCGACCUGAGAGGGUGACCGGCCACAUUGGGACUGAGGCACGGCCCAAACUCCUACGGGAGGCAGCAGUGGGGGAUAUUGCACAAUGGGGGAAACCCUGAUGCAGCGACGCCGCGUGAAGGAUGAAGUAUUUCGGUAUGUAAACUUCUAUCAGCGGGGAAGAAGAUGACGGUACCCGACUAAGAAGCCCCGGCUAACUACGUGCCAGCCGCCGC